GGAAAUCGACCGGCCAGGCGGUGCGCUUCGGAUCCAGCCAGGGCAUGUGCUCGGAUGCCCGCCUGGCUCGCAGGGCGGUAGAGGAGCUGCUGCGCUGCGGCGCGGACCCUAAUUUGGUGCUGGAGGACGGCGCAGCGGCUGUGCACUUGGCGGCCGGAGCCCGGCACCCACGCGGCCUGCGUUGCCUCGGGGCCCUACUGCGCCAAGGCGGGGACCCCAACGCUCGAUCUGUCGAGGCACUGACGCCGCUGCAUGUGGCCGCCGCCUGGGGCUGCCGCCGCGGCCUGGAGCUGCUGCUGAGCCAAGGAGCGGACCCGGCGCUGCGCGACCAGGUUGGGAGGCACUGCGCGGGCAAAGAAAGGCUGGGUGAGCGCAGAGGGAGGGAAGGAAGGUAAGAGGGCCUCGGGCGCCCCCUGCUGACCGAGCCCCUGUAGGACGGACUCCGGCCGCUGGACCUGGCCCUGCAGCAGGGACACCUGGAGUGCGUGCAAGUCCUGCAGGAUCUCGACACGCGGACCGGGACCCGGACCCGGAUCGGGGCAGAGACCCAGGAGCCCGAGCCUGCACCUGGCACUGCAAGCCUCUCUGGACCUCCCGAUAAGACGCUGGACUCCAUAGCACUCCAAAAGCAGCCAUGCAGAGGUGACAACAGGGACAUUGGCUUGGAGGCUGACCCAGGACCCCCCAGCCUCCCUGUUCCCCUUGAAAUUGUGGACAAAGAUGGGAGCUCGGCGUCCCCUCCAGGGCACUGGGAUUACAGCUCAGACGCUUCUUUCGUCACAGCGGUUGAGGUCUCUGGAGCUGAGGACCCAGCCUGGGACACUCCCCCCUGGGCUGGGUCAUUGCCACCGACCAGGCAGGGACUUCUGCAUGUUGUCCAUGCCAACCAGAGGGUACCUAGGUCUCAGGGCACGGAGGCAGAACUGAAUGCCCGUCUGCAGGCCCUGACUCUGACCCCACCAAAUGCUGCUGGCUUCCAGUCCUCUCCUUCCUCCAUGCCUCUCCUGGACAGGAGUCCAGCUCAUAGCCCCCCACAGACACCACCCCCUGGAGCUUCUGACUGCCACUGCCUGUGGGAGCACCAGACAUCCAUUGAUAGUGACAUGGCCAACUUCUGGCUGACAGAGGAUGAGGCAAGCUCUACAGGUGGCAGAGACCCUGACGGCCCUUGCCGGCACCUGCCAGUCUCCACUGUGUCUGACUUGGAGUUGCUGAAGGGACUCCGAGUGCUUGGUGAGAAUCCUGGCCCCAUCACACCCUUCACUGGGCGGUUCUACCUCCAGCGGCUGGAAGAAGCCCAGAUUGCUCCUGGCCCAGAGUUUUCAGGGCACAGCCUAGAACUGGCUGCAGCCCUGCGGACGGGCCGUAUUCCAGACGUCCAGGCAGAUGAAGACGCGCUGGCCCAGCAGUUUGAGCGGCCAGAUCCUGCCAGGAGGUGGCGGGAGGGGGUCGUGAAGUCUAGCUUCACGUAUCUGCUGCUGGACCCCAGGGAGACUCAGGACCUGCCAGCCCGAGCCUUCUCCCUGACCCCGGCUGAGCGCCUUCAGACUUUCGUCCGUGCCAUCUUCUACGUGGGCAAAGGGAUGAGGGCCCGGCCAUAUGUCCACCUCUGGGAGGCCCUUGGUCACCAUGGGCGGUCAAGAAAACAGCCCCCCCCCGGCCUGCCCCAAGGUGCGUCAGAUCUUGGACAUCUGGGCCAGUGGUUGCGGCGUUGUGUCCCUACAUUGCUUCCAGCACGUGGUCGCUGUGGAGGCUUAUACGCGGGAGGCAUGUAUUGUGGAAGCCCUAGGGAUCCAGACGCUCACCAACCAGAAACAAGGGCACUGCUAUGGAGUGGUGGCAGGCUGGCCACCUGCUCGUCGCCGGCGCUUGGGGGUGCACCUGCUGCACCGUGCCCUCCUUGUCUUCCUGGCUGAAGGCGAGCGACAGCUUCGUCCCCAGGACAUCCAGGCCCGGGGCUGAGUGCUGGGGAGUUGGCCAUCCAGCCUGGGGAGAAAUGUUUGAAUGUUCCAGCUGCCCCGUGCAGAUCUCCCCCAGGCUGAGGGAGGACUUUGUUACAGAUGGUACUGCUGGAGAGGUAGUAAGUAGUGAGCUCCCCAUCGUGGGAGGAGGACAAGAAGGGAAGCAGAAGGUGCUUUGGAACAGUCCGG
rnacentral:sRNA from 1 species